UCAGGAUCUUGCAACAGCAUGGAAGUGGUGGCAACAUUGACAUGACCAGGGCUCAACUGUCUGUCUGAAGAUGGAAGGACACUAAACUCCAGAAUCUGAUGAAGUCCUGUCAUUGUUCUGUGCUUGCCUUGCAUGGCCAGGACUGGUGCACUUCAGACAUCACACACCUGGGUGGAAUACAUGGGCUACAGCAGCUGCUCUCUAACAGCUGCUACGCAUAUAAUCACCUCUGCAUCAAGCAAGAACAUAGCAGCAGCAAGUCUACAUUGAAAUCACUUUAAUGAUGUGCUGAACAAGAAAGAUGGAGAAUCCAGAGGCAAGGCAGUCCCUAAUCCUGUCGCUGGCUGUAGGAUUCCCAGCUGUCAAAAAUCAAGGAUCCAGCCACAGUGCUGCUUCAACGUCGCUGUAACAGAGGGGCUGACAGCACAGUACCUGUACAUUUUGAAAACAGGUUUGUGGGAAAUGAACACUUCCUGUGCUGUAUAUAGCGAUGCUGGGUGACGUAGCCUGUGCAUUCAGAUUAGAUGACCUCUUCAACCAUGCACUAUUAUCACAACUACGUAGAUCCCUGAAACACUGUGAGUCAUGGUGGGCAUUUAUCAUACAAAACCAUGAGGAUUGGUGCUGUGGGAAAUUGAGAAGACCACAGUGAGCAUGUUGCAAAUAAAUAAAUGAAUUAUAUUUCCAAAAUGGCAUAAGAAAGGAUUAUCAGUGGAAAAGGGAACAAUAUUCCUCAUUAAGAUUUUGGGGUCCAGAGGGUACAGCCUGAACAAAUGAACAAUGUUUAACCCCAGAAAUGAACGACAAAGAAAGGCAAGUCUUGGAAUCUAUGUGGACUGCCAAUAAGAUGCAUUUUCAGUCUUGAAAUUGUCACUGCAUCUUCUGUAAAGAAUACAGAAAUAUUUUCAUGUCAGUAAAGCCUACAGCAUGUGUCAGUAGUGGAUCAAAUAUUAAAAGUAAUUUUUAAUAAGUGUGAAUCAAAGAGGGAUUAGAAAAGCUCAGGGGAUUUGGAGAUGAAACUUCAGUUCAGGGAAUCCCACAGCUCAGAGGCAUAACAGGUGAAUGCUCUGCUACCCACGGAUGAGAGACCUGACAAGGGGGCUGAUGAAUUUGAGAUUUAUUAUUAGAAAGUAGGGACUGAGGGUAUGUAUAAAUGGAGACCAGUUUUGAUAGGUAUGAAAGGGACAUUUCAGACAGGUAAUGAAAAACUCAGAACAAAAUUUUAAAGUCAAUGCGUUGACUGAUCGGAAGCAGGUAUAAAUCUGCCACAGCUGAAGUAAUGUGAUGUGAUUUAUUGCCACAAGUAAACGUAGGGGAUGCAGCAUUCUGAACAAUGGGGUCAUUUGUGAAUAUUAUUCCAUAUAGUGUAUGCCUAUUACUGUAAUCUUGAAGCUAUAAAGAUGGGCUUCGCAACAGGGCAGGCAGCACAGAGGCAGUAAUACCUGUGUAACACCUGCGAAGUGGAAGCAUGUCACCCAAGUGGCUGCUUUUGAGAAAAGCUUUUAAGAAGUUAGCAGUAAAUGAACUAAGAAACCAAAGAAGAAUACAAAGUCAAAAGUUUUGUCGGAUUCAUCAGAUGCACACAACUGCCACCAGAUGGGAAAACAGAAUAUGACAAACAGUACAUAAAUAAAAGACAGAUGAAAAGGGGAGGGUGAAUUUGGGAAUUUGAUUUCAUAACGCAGUGUCUUAUGUAUCCAUCAUCAGUAAUGCCUUCUAGCUCCUUCAUGUGUGCGAAUGUGCAUGCCUUUUUUUCCCUCUUCCCUCUACCUCCCUCCCUUGCUUGCUCUUUCUUUGAGAGAUUGACAGCCACAGUUUGAAGAGAAGCUUACAGAGAAAUACAUACCUUUUUUUUUUUUUUUCUGUCAUACAUCAGGAACCAAGUAAUCUCAUGAGAAGCCAGAGCUUUUGCACAGCAGGGGCCUGUGCAAAUUUGGAUAUGGAUCCUCUACAAAAGAUUUUUGUACACUGUAGUAGUUAAGAACCAGAUCACUUGGGUCAGUACUGAACCUGUGAAUUACUUAGAAAUAAUGUUGAGAGU